GGGGCUGACCGGUUUAGACAGCGGGUAGAAGUGGUUUGUAAGCAUGUAGUGCGUGGUUGGCUUGCACUUAAAUAUCAGACAACGACCAAUUAACUGGCGAAAACAAUUACGCUCUCGCUGCUUGAUCGAAGUAUAGUAGAUCUAAGCUUAAUCCUUGCAACAGUUGCAGGGACGUGACAUCACCCGGAUGCUGUGGCUCCGAAGCGGUUCGAUCAGGUGGUGCAGCAAUAUCGGAGAUAGCUUAAAGUAAGCCCCGGCCUUUAAGCGAAACGUUAGGGGAUAAGGAUGGAAUGGGUGGCUUCGGUCUUGUUCAAUCCCGACAAUUAAAGCGAAGAUAAACAUGUAGAAAGCAAAUUAAUUCCUCGUUUGGACG
rnacentral:tmRNA from 1 species